GAUGAACGCUGGCGGCGUGCCUAAUACAUGCAAGUCGAGCGAACGGACGAGAAGCUUGCUUCUCUGAUGUUAGCGGCGGACGGGUGAGUAACACGUGGAUAACCUACCUAUAAGACUGGGAUAACUUCGGGAAACCGGAGCUAAUACCGGAUAAUAUUUUGAACCGCAUGGUUCAAAAGUGAAAGACGGUCUUGCUGUCACUUAUAGAUGGAUCCGCGCUGCAUUAGCUAGUUGGUAAGGUAACGGCUUACCAAGGCAACGAUGCAUAGCCGACCUGAGAGGGUGAUAGGCCACACUGGAACUGAGACACGGUCAAGACUCCUACGGGAGGCAGCAGUAGGGAAUCUUCCGCAAUGGGCGAAAGCCUGACGGAGCAACGCCGCGUGAGUGAUGAAGGUCUUCGGAUCGUAAAACUCUGUUAUUAGGGAAGAACAGAUGUGUAAGUAACUGUGCACAUCGUGACGGUACCUAAUCAGAAAGCCACGGCUAACUACGUG
rnacentral:rRNA from 1 species